rnacentral:rRNA from 1 species
CCCAGACUCCUACGGGAGGCAGCAGUGGGGGAUAUUGCACAAUGGGGGGAACCCUGAUGCAGCGACGCCGCGUGGGUGAAGGAGCGUUUCGGCGCGUAAAGCCCUAUCGGCAGGGAAGAAGGAGGACGGUACCUGACUAAGAAGCCCCGGCUAACUACGUGCCAGCAGCCGCGGUAAUACGUAGGGGGCAAGCGUUAUCCGGAUUUACUGGGUGUAAAGGGGGCGCAGACGGCAGCGCAAGCCAGGAGUGAAAGCCCGGGGCCCAACCCCGGGACUGCUCUUGGAACUGCGCGGCUGGAGUGCAGGAGGGGCAGGCGGAAUUCCUGGUGUAGCGGUGAAAUGCGUAGAUAUCAGGAGGAACACCGGUGGCGAAGGCGGCCUGCUGGACUGCGACUGACGUUGAGGCCCGAAAGCGUGGGGAGCAAACAGGAUUAGAUACCCUGGUAGAG